rnacentral:rRNA from 1 species
CCUACGGGGGGCAGCAGUCGAGAAUCUUUCACAAUGGGGGAAACCCUGAUGGUGCGACGCCGCGUGGGGGAAUGAAGGUCUUCGGAUUGUAAACCCCUGUCAUGUGGGAGCAAAUUAAAAAGAUAGUACCACAAGAGGAAGAGACGGCUAACUCGGUGCCAGCAGCCGCGGUAAUACAGAGGUCUCAAGCGUUGUUCGGAAUCACUGGGCGUAAAGCGUUCGUAGGCUGUUUCGUAAGUCGUGUGUGAAAGGCGCGGGCUCAACCCGCGGACGGCACAUGAUACUGCGAGACUAGAGUAAGGGAGGGGGAAGCGGAAUUCUCGGUGUAGCAGUGAAAUGCGUAGAUAUCGAGAGGAACACUCGUGGCGAAGGCGGGUUCCUGGACAUUAACUGACGCUGAGGCACGAAGGCCAGGGGAGCGAAAGGGAUUAGAUACCCGAGUAGUC